AACGUGUACGGCUGAAGGUGAUUGUAUUUGAGUAUAAAUGAUCAUCAGACCUUGGUUCAUCUUGAUCACAUGCAUGUUUUUCUCUGCUACUUAAUUCUGACUUCACUCACCGUCUCGUUAGGUUUCUUGAUUUUCUUCCGGUAACCAUUUAUAUCUCAACGAACCUAUCGUAGUUCUGGAUUAGUCCAAAAUGACCAAAAAGAAAAAGAAACAAAAGAUUGUGGUUUAUGUUGACGGAAUUGGUACAGGCAGACUCCGAAAUACCUCAUCAAGGAGCUAACCAAAUUUUGGUAUCUCGUACGUGUUUUCCGUAUCCCGCACGUAUUUUGAAGGGGUUGUUAGCAUGUGCAUUUUAAUUUGACCCUGAAAUUAAUUGAACACGGUUUGCUUCCUUCAAUUUCAUUUUUACAUUGAAUCGCAAUAAUUUGAGGUUUUGAUUUAUGGUUUCCCACUUUGUAAUCGAUGGAUUUUUAUGAAAUACGAAAAUCUAUUUGUAGGCAUAUAAUAGUUUACUUUUUGGAUUGCGUUUAGAGUUCAAAUUUUUGGUUGACUAUUGGACGAAUGGAUUAACGUCGGUGAUGAAGAUGGUGGUUCAGAGUUAACAAUUGGCCAUUAAUUAGUUGGAUUUUCAUCUUCUUCAAUUAGUCAAUUAGGUAUUUUUAGUGUUCACUAAAUAGUCAGCCCUUUUUGUUUCUUAAUUAUUAAUUUUUUUUGGGUGGGGAAAUUGCUUAUACUCCCUCCGUCUCAUUGUAUAGGUGGAGAAGUGAGUUUCUCUUAUAAUAAAUUUUUUUUUUGAUUUCCUAUAUUUUCAUCCUCUUUCCUGUUUUAUUAUUUGAACAAUUUCCAACACUAGAAACAUUAACUUAAUUGUGGUGAUAACUACCUAUAAUAAAUAAAGGCAAUAUAUGAAAAACCCACUUUGGAAUUGAAAGUCUGUCUAUCUAAUGGGACUAUAAAUUUUUAUAAUGGGACUAUAAAUUUUUAUAACUCCGCCUUUAUAAUAGGGACGGAGGGAGUAUAUAUAUAUGAGAACUUCAUUGAGUUGUGAGAAAUUAUUUGAUUUUUCUUUUCUAGGGAUAAAUGAGCUUCAUAUCUCGGGUGGUUCAAAUGGUCACAUUAUAUUUGUUAUGUGAUCUCGGCAACCACGUCGAAUGUUCUAAAGCUAUGGUGAAGUAAGACGUAAAAUAGAACGACCAUGAAAAACUAGAGACUCCGGUAACUAGAACAAACAUGAGAAACUAGUGAGUGCGGUGAUUUUUACGUUGUGGAGGUUGAAGAGUGCGACAGGGAAUAUCACUACUCCUUUGAACUGAAAAUCAGAUCCAAGCAAAUAUUUGCUUGAGUUUGUUGAUAUUUGUCUUUUACAUUAUGGUUGUUUCCUUUUACAAUUUUCGUGAAGCCUUUCACAUACCAGUGUCUUUCGGUGAUAUUAAUUGGUGCAGAGUUUUUUAAUUGGAAUAGAGUGAAGCUUCGUUAUUGUGAUGAUGAUCUUAAAUGCUUUCAUAUGCAUAGCAGCAUAGGUUGAUGUUAUCACAUGCUUAUGUUAGCAGCAUAGAUAUAUUGUGGCAACUCAUUUCUAAGAUUUUCAAACAUGAUGAUGGGUUCUGUUUUGUGCUGUGCAUUUGGAUUCCCACUUGGUUGGGCUCAUUUGAAGAUUAUGAAGAAGGUAGAUGAACAACGGCUGGGUUAUGAAUCUAGGUUGCCAGAUAGGAGAUGAGAAAGAGGUGGGGUUGGUGGUGCCAUUGAUAGACUUGAGGAUAACUUCAAACAAAAAAAAAAAAACUUCAGAAGAUCAAAUUAACAGAUGCAAGACGAAAGUUAUAUCUAAGGAAAGAAAUGAAACAGAAAAGUGAAGCAAGCAACUGACAUCUUUUUGAAGAAGAAAUAUGGCUCAGACAUACAUUCUACAUCCAUUUCUCUCAUUCCAAUGUAAUCUGUUGAUUACGAAAUCCAAGAGCCAAAUUUUAAUUAUAAUAUUUCCUAUUCAUGUUUUGUAUUUAUUUUUUCAAUUUGUUUGGUCUGUAUACCAGAGAAGCUAUAUAUGACAAGCGGUGGAGAAACCUAUUCAUGUUCA